AAAAUUAUCUGGCAGGGGAGAUACCAUGAUCACAAAGGUGGUUUUCCCAGGACGAGGUUUAUUCAUUGCACUCUGGGUAUGCUGACCCAUGCGAUUUCCCCAAAUGUGGGAAACUCGACUGCAUAAUUUGUGGUAUGGAAAACUGUGUUCACGCUCUCCCC
rnacentral:snRNA from 1 species